rnacentral:tRNA from 1 species
GUCAGGAUAGCUCAGCUGGUAGAGCAGAG